rnacentral:rRNA from 1 species
AACGAACGCUGGCGGCAGGCUUAACACAUGCAAGUCGAGCGCGUAGCAAUACGAGCGGCAGACGGGUGAGUAACGCGUGGGAAUCUACCCCUUACUACGGAAUAACGCAGGGAAACUUGUGCUAAUACCGUAUGUGGCCGAGAGGCGAAAGAUUUAUCGGUAAGGGAUGAGCCCGCGUUGGAUUAGCUAGUUGGUGGGGUAAAGGCCUACCAAGGCGACGAUCCAUAGCUGGUCUGAGAGGAUGAUCAGCCACACUGGGACUGAGACACGGCCCAGACUCCUACGGGAGGCAGCAGUGGGGAAUAUUGGACAAUGGGCGCAAGCCUGAUCCAGCCAUGCCGCGUGAGUGAUGAAGGCCCUAGGGUUGUAAAGCUCUUUCACCGGUGAAGAUAAUGACGGUAACCGGAGAAGAAGCCCCGGCUAACUUCGUGCCAGCCGCCGCCGUAACAC